UGCGUGGGGGCGGGGCCCUCCAGGCUUCUGUUCCUGGCCGUCUCGCCGGCUAGCUCAAAUGGUCCCAGUAUCCAUCUAUCUGGGACUUCUCCAGUGCCUCAGUGGUAAAGAAUCUGCCUGCAGUGUUGGAGACACAGAAGAUGGGAGUGAUCCCUGGGUUGGGAAGUUCCCCUGGAGGAGAGCAUGGCAACCCACUCCAGUAUUCUUGCCUGGAGAAUCCCAUGGACAGAUGAGCCUGGCUGGCCUCGGUCUCAAGCAGUCUGAAGUAAGCAAACAGACUGACCGAGAAGCAUGUCAACAAGAACUUCUCCUUGGACCCCCUUCCCUUCCAGUUACUCUCAUGGUCGGAGUUUUCGUGACACAAGCACCACCAACUCAUUUCAUUUCUUGUUUGUUUUUGGCUGCGUGGAGUCUUAUGUUGCUGCGUGAGGGCCUUAGUCGCAGUGCGUGGGCUUCUCUUGUUGGGGCUUGUGGGCUCUAGAGCGUGGACUCGAUAGUUGUGGCCCUCGGGGUUACUUGCCCUGCAGCGUGUGGAGUCUUCCUGCUCCAGGAAUGGAACGCAUGUCACCUGCAUUGGCAGGUGGAUUCUUAAACACUGGACUACCAGGGAGGUCCAGCCAACUCCUUUCAGUCUAGUUGCAGCUGCCUUCCCCCAAGCGAAUCUCAUCCACCCAUAGAAUCUUCUCAAUCCAUUUUACCUCAUGUCCCAGCUACACCGGAUCCAGAUAAUCACCCUCCUUUGGCAACUGAGACUUUUCUUGCUUCCUAAAGUAUCAAACUCUCUUGGUUGUCCUCUCCUCUCUGCCCUUGCUCAGUCCUUCUUCCUCUACCUAACAUAUAACCACUGGAUUUCCUCAACACUCAUCCCUAAAGUCCUUUUCUUACUCUAUACAUUCUCAGUCUCCAUUAUUCACUUAACAUCUCAACAUCUUGUUUUUCAAACUGAGAGUCACCUCAUUAAUGGGUUGUGAAAUCAGUUUACUGGGUCAUAUCUAGCAAUUUUUAAAAAAUCAAAUGGAAUAAAAAACAUCAGAACCACAUGGUAUAUGGAAUAAGAAUAUUAAGGAGAAACACCAAAUGUCCAUCAACAGAAAUAAAUGUGGUUUGGCCAUACAAUGGAGUGGAAUAUUAUACAGCAGUAAAAAGGAAUAAAGCACUGAUAUAUGGAAUAGCACAAAGUAGGGAUUAGCAAACUUUUCUGUCAAGUGCCAGACAGAAAGUUUUUAGGCUUUGUGGACCAUUUGUCUCUGUUGCAGCUACUCAACUCUGUGUAGCAUGACUGUAGCCAUAGAUAAUACAUAAAGAAAUGAGUCAUGACAGUGUCCCAAUAGAACUUUAUUUAUAGGCACUGAAUUUUGAAUUUAAUUAUUCUGAUUUGUUAAAGUUGUUUGAAAAUAUAAAGCCAUUCUUAUCUCUUGGGUCUUUAAAUAAACAGGCAAUAGGCAGGAUUUGGCCCAUAGGCUAGAGUUUGCUGAUCACUGCCAUAGAUGAAUCUCAAAAACAUGAAGCUGAGUGAAAGAAGCCAAACCCAAAUUAAUACAGAUACUAAAUAUGUCCUUUGUGAUUUCAUUUAUAUGAAAUUCUAGACAAUGCAAACUCAUCUAUAAUGACAGAAAGCCUGGGGCCAGGGGUCAAAGGGUUUCCCCAGUGGCUCAGGGGUAAAAGAAUCUGCCUGCCAAUGCAGGAGACUCAGCUUUGAUCCCUGGAUCAGGAAUAUCCUCUGGAGAAGGAAAUGGCAACCCACUCCAGUAUUCUUGCCUGGGAAAUCCCAUGGACAGAGGAACCUGGGGGGUUAAGUCCAUGGGUCACAAAAGAGUCAGACAUGACUGAGCAACUGAAUAACAACAAGGGGUCAAAGGGAAUUGAAUGUAUGGGGGUAUUAGGGGACUUUUGAGGGUGAUAGAAAUGUUCUGUAUUUUUAAAAAAUUGAUUUAUUUGGCUGUGCUAGGUCUUAGUUGCAGCACUCCAAAUAUUUUCACUUGCCUCAUGCUGAAUAUUUUUACUUGCAGCUUGCAGGAUCGUUAGUGUGGCAUUCAGGAUCUAGUUCUCUGACCAGAGAUCAAACCCUGGGCCCCUGCAUUGGUAGUGAGGUGUCUUAGCCUAUGGGCCACCAGGGAAGUCCUUAGUUUGCCUUUAAAAAGGCUUUACUGAGGGAUUUUCCUGUUGGUCUAGUGGUUAGGACUCCACACUUUCACUGCUGAGGGCCAGGGUUCAAUCCUUGAUCUGGAAACUAAGAUCCUGCA